rnacentral:lncRNA from 1 species
AACGAGUGCUGCUAAGAUGGCUGCCAGAUUUACCUGCAAAAAGUCAAAAUAAGGGUAGUGUUUGUGGGCCAAUACAUGGCUUUACGUUCUUGACGAUAUACAUUUGAAAGCCAACGUAGUCAACGCUUCUCUUUGCUUCAUUCCUCUUAGUCACGCGGGAUGCAUUUGUUCGACGACAACGUCGACCAUGGAAGACCCAAACCCACC